UACGUAGGGGGCAAGCGUUGUCCGGAAUCACUGGGCGUAAAGGGUGCGUAGGCGGUUCUACCAGUCUGGGGUGAAAGGCCAGGGCUCAACCUUGGGAAUGCCUUGGAAACUGUAGGACUUGGGUGCUGGAGAGGCAAGGGGAAUUCCACGUGUAGCGGUGAAAUGCGUAGAGAUGUGGAGGAAUACCAGUGGCGAAGGCGCCUUGCUGGACAGUGACUGACGCUGAGGCACGAAAGCGUGGGGAGCAAACAGG
rnacentral:rRNA from 1 species